rnacentral:ncRNA from 1 species
AACCGAGAAAGGCACACCCGGCGCGAGUCGGGUUCGCAAAGCCGACGGAAGUCAGAACAGUGCGCCAGAUGCCCCGGCGCUCCUGAUUGACUUGGCCGGGUUACCGAA